rnacentral:lncRNA from 1 species
CCCACGUAGACAAUCUACGUGCUGUGAGUUAUUCGUUGCCUCACUUUAUUUACUGUUUAAUUUUGUGCAAUCUGCUAGUAUUAAAUACUUGGGUGUGAUUGCACUGUUGUGGGCGGAUUUGUGUGCUCGAUGAUGAUAGCGGUGUAGUGAGACAACGUGACAGUCUGGGUUUUAGUGUAUUAUCAUUUUCAGCAUUGAUAUUAUUUUUGCCUAAUUAAAUCUCUCUUUGUUAAGGCUGUUUACCUGUGUUAAAUUUUGUUAAUUUAUUAAGUAAACAACUCCUUUCUAUCAGUAUUUAUAUUUGAUUAUUAGGCUUAUUACAUCUGAUCUAAAACCCUUAUUUGGUAAGAUAGGACUGUCACGUUAGUCGAGGAUCUCUGAUCACCUAUUAGCGUUGGAGGGCUGUUUAUUACAGCAACCCGCUAUUUUGAGAGCAAUAUUUUAAGAUAAACAAUUAUGUUUAUUUGUUUAAUCUGCCUUCUUCAUCUGCAAGCCAUGUUUAAUUUCCAAAUGGACCUGUGUAGCUAUUUUACAUGUUUACAUGUCUUAGAAUUGCUACUGUUCAUUGCUGCUAUAAUUACAUAUGGCAUUUGUCUGAGUUAUAUGCUUGUUUUAUUCGGAAUUAGAAUAUUUAAUUUAUUUAAAUAUGAAGGAAACAUGUCACUUAUUUCUCUAAUACUACAACAGAUCAUGACAAAGGAUGAAACUAUCACGAAGCUAUGUGCAGAGGAGCUUCGGCAUGACAACAGAAAGGGGAAACCGACUUAAAAAUGAAAAGCCAAAUCAGCCCCCGAAGAAUUACUAUAAGGUUAUUGAUAAAAUUAAAGGGCAUUAAUGUAAUUUUACAUGGGCUGCGUCCCGUGCCUAUAAAUAGAUGAACAGUAGUCAUGUACUGUUCACGCUGAUCUGGCAUUGGCAUCUCGCUUGUACCCUUACUUUCCUUCAAGCCGAA